rnacentral:ncRNA from 1 species
GAAUAAGCUAUUAAGAGCUAACGGCGGAUGCCUUGGCAUCGGAAGGCGAUGAAGGACGUGGAAAGCUGCGAUAAGCUUCGGGGAGUUGUUAACAUGCUUUGAUCCGGAGAUUUCCGAAUGGGGAAACCCAGCAGGAGUUAUAUCCUGUUAUCCUUGACUGAAUACAUAGGUCAUGGAGGCGAACGUAGGGAACUGAAACAUCUAAGUACCUGCAGGAAUAGAAAUCAAUUGAGAUUCUGUGAGUAGCGGCGAGCGAAAGCGGAAAAGCCCAAACCAGACUUUGUCUGGGGUUGUAGGACCCCAAUGUGGGAUUAGUGAUGAUUAGUGGAAAGGUAUGGAAAGGCCUACCAUAGACGGUGAUAGUCCGGUAUACGAAAAUCUGAUCUACCCUAGGGAGUUCCUGAGUACCACGAGACACGUGAAACCUUGUGGGAAUCUAGGAGGACCAUCUUCUAAGGCUAAAUACUAACCGAUGACCGAUAGUGAACAAGUACCGUGAGGGAAAGGUGAAAAGAACGGGGGAACCCGAGUGAAAUAGACACUGAAACCGUUAGCUUACAAGCAGUCGGAGCACUAUGUAUUUAUACAGUGUGACGGCGUGCCUUUUGCAUAAUGAGUCAACGACUUACCGUGUGCAGCAAGGUUAAGCCGCGAGGUGGAGCCGUAG